CUCAGGCUUAGGCUUAGGCUUAGGCUCAGGCUUAGGCUCAGGCUUAGGCUCAGG
rnacentral:sRNA from 1 species